UUUCACAUGUGUAGAUGGCGUGUGACGCUGACGUGAGUGAAAAUUAUGACUUAAAAUAAAUAAAAGUGAAGUGUCUGACAAACCCAAGCGGAAUGGGGAGCAAAGGCAGCUAAAGCCAAGGAAGAUUAGAUGAAGCGGUAAGAGAAUUUGAGGCCAAUGGAGGCAGCUGCCGAAUUUACAUCCAUAUAAUCCGCUGGAUUGAAACCACGUUUGCACAAAGUUUCAAGUCACACAUCAAAGCAAGAAUUAUCAAUAUCAAUUUGGAAACAAUCAUCUGCCGUAAAGUCAUGGAAUUGCACCAUCAGAAGCAUCAUCAACAUAUGUGUACAACUUGAAUGCUGCCAAGGCGCAGUUUGCUGAAGCACAGAAAAGCUGAUGUGACUACGACCAUCCCAUGUUGAAGCUAUCUGGGAUGCCGCCAGCUGGAAGGAUAUCUUUAAUCACCUCGUUGCCGCUGCUAAGAGACGUUUGUGUCAUCCAAGCUUUAAUUGACCUAGAGAAAAAUUCGAAUUUGUGGGACGAAUGUUGGGCAAAACGGUGCUUACUCUAAAGGAUAAAAUGAAGGAGCUAGAAGUGCAUUCGGUGGUUGAAAUCAACAUCACGUUAGGGCGGCACAAAAGGCGGUCGCCCAUGCAUGCGC